GACGAACGCUGGCGGCGUGCUUAACACAUGCAAGUCGUACGGUAAGGCCCUUUCGGGGGUACACGAGUGGCGAACGGGUGAGUAACACGUGAGUAACCUGCCCACAACUUUGGGAUAACGCUAGGAAACUGGUGCUAAUACUGGAUAUGUGCUCCUGCUGCAUGGUGGGGGUUGGAAAGCUCCGGCGGUUGUGGAUGGACUCGCGGCCUAUCAGCUUGUUGGUGGGGUAGUGGCCUACCAAGGCGGCGACGGGUAGCCGGCCUGAGAGGGUGACCGGCCACAUUGGGACUGAGAUACGGCCCAGACUCCUACGGGAGGCAGCAGUAGGGAAUCUUCCGCAAAGGGCGAAAGCCUGACGGAGCAACGCCGCGUGAGUGAUGAAGGUCUUCGGAUCGUAAAACUCUGUUAUUAGGGAAGAACAAAUGUGUAAGUAACUAUGCACGUCUUGACGGUACCUAAUCAGAAAGCCACGGCUAACUACGUG
rnacentral:rRNA from 1 species